UACGAAGGGGGGCUAGCGUUGCUCGGAAUCACUGGGCGUAAAGCGCACGUAGGCGGGUCGUUAAGUCAGGGGUGAAAUCCUGGAGCUCAACUCCAGAACUGCCCUUGAUACUGGCGAUCUCGAGUUUCGGGAGAGGUGAGUGGAACUGCGAGUGUAGAGGUGAAAUUCGUAGAUAUUCGCAAGAACACCAGUGGCGAAGGCG
rnacentral:rRNA from 1 species